AGAGUUUGAUCCUGGCUCAGGACGAACGCGGGCGGCGUGCCUAACACAUGCAAGUCGAGCGAUGAAGCCUUUCGGGGUGGAUUAGCGGCGGACGGGUGAGUAACACGUGGGUAACCUACCUCAAAGAGGGGGAUAGCCUCCCGAAAGGGAGAUUAAUACCGCAUAACAUUAGUUUUUCGCAUGAAGAACUAAUUAAAGGAGUAAUCCGCUUUGAGAUGGACCCGCGGCGCAUUAGCUAGUUGGUGAGGUAAAGGCUCACCAAGGCGACGAUGCGUAGCCGACCUGAGAGGGUGAUCGGCCACAUUGGAACUGAGAUACGGUCCAGACUCCUACGGGAGGCAGCAGUGGGGAAUAUUGCACAAUGGGCGAAACCCUGAUGCAGCAACGCCGCGUGAGUGAUGAAGGCCUUCGGGUUGUAAAGCCUCUGUCUUUGGGGACGAUAAAUGACGGACCCAAGGA
rnacentral:rRNA from 1 species